GAUGAACGCUGGCGGCGUGCCUAAUACACGCAAGUCGAGCGAACAGAUAAGGAGCUUGCUCCUUUGACGUUAGCGGCGGACGGGUGAGUAACACGUGGAUAACCUACCUAUAAGACUGGGAUAACUUCGGGAAACCGGAGCUAAUACCGGAUAACAUAUUGAACCGCAUGGUUCAAUAGUGAAAGGCGGCUUUGCUGUCACUUAUAGAUGGAUCCGCGCCGUAUUAGCUAGUUGGUAAGGUAACGGCUUACCAAGGCAACGAUACGUAGCCGACCUGAGAGGGUGAUCGGCCACACUGGAACUGAGACACGGUCCAGACUCCUACGGGAGGCAGCAGUAGGGAAUCUUCCGCAAUGGGCGAAAGCCUGACGGAGCAACGCCGCGUGAGUGAUGAAGGUCUUCGGAUCGUAAAACUCUGUUAUCAGGGAAGAACAAAUGUGUAAGUAACUGUGCACAUCUUGACGGUACCUGAUCAGAAAGCCACGGCUAACUACGU
rnacentral:rRNA from 1 species